rnacentral:tRNA from 1 species
UCCCUCAUAGCUCAGUAGGUAAAGAAUCUGCCUGCAAUGCAGGAGACCUGGGUUUGAUUCCUGGGUCGGGAA